rnacentral:rRNA from 1 species
AUGGCUCAGGAUGAACGCUGGCGGCGUGCCUAACACAUGCAAGUCGAACGGAGUGUCGAGAGCUUGCUUUGACACUUAGUGGCGGACGGGUGAGUAAUGUAUGAGCAACCUGCCUUUCAGAGGGGGACAACAGUUGGAAACGACUGCUGAUACCGCAUAACGUGCGGGGAGGGCAUCCUCCCUGUACCAAAGGAGCAAUCCGCUGAAAGAUGGGCUCAUAUCUGAUUAGUUAGUUGGCAGGGUAACGGCCUACCAAGACUGCGAUCAGUAGCCGGACUGAGAGGUUGAACGGCCACAUUGGGACUGAGAUACGGCCCAGACUCCUACGGGAGGCAGCAGUGGGGAAUAUUGGGCAAUGGGCGAAAGCCUCGACCCAGCAACGCCGCGUGAAGGAAGAAGGUCUUCGGAUUGUAAACUUCUUUUAUGAGGGACGAAGGACGUGACGGUACCUCAUGAAUAAGCCACGGCUAACUACGUGCCAGCCGCCGC